rnacentral:lncRNA from 1 species
UGGGGAGCUGAAUAGUUCAGUGCAGAGAGCCUGGCUGCUGAGCUUGCAAUAAAAAUUAGGACGGCUCCAUAGUUUCAGAAGAAAAAUGGACAGGAAAAUACCCAUUAAGCCUUUCCUAGAGGCAGUGGCUCUGUUAGGGCUCUGCUUUCUCCAUAGAUGUGCUUUCACCUUAAGUGUAAUGGCAGCCCUUGCAUCGUAGCGUGGGAGAAUAUCCCAAGAAUGCAGAGAAAACUACCCCAAACCAUGCUUCUACCAGCUCUCCUUCCAGAGUUUCCCAAGACCCCAUUGAUAGGGUGGGAUGCUCAUAGCAGCAGUACCCACCACAUGGGACUAGAAUGCAAAUAAAAUGCCUUGUACCCCUCUCACUGGGGUUUCCAGCUGGAAAACAUGAGGGACAGCUGUUCCUUGUCCCCAUGCACAGGGACCCACCCAAUCCUGUCUUGUGCUGCAUCUUGUGUUGCCUUGUUUCAGUGCUUCUUAUGCACAUAGACACUCUAUCACAUAUCUGUUGGCUUGAAGUCAUGAUUCAGUAUGUGUUUAUUGCAUCAAAGCACUAAGCUGCUGCUCUGAAAAGCCAUAAGUCCCCAGAGAUGUCUCCAGGGAUGUCCUCAAAGCCACCUGUGUUGGCUCUGUCCCCCAUGUAGGUCUUCAGACUGGUCUCUUGGCUCAGGAGAGCGGUCACUUCUGUGGGGUUUAGUGGGGAGGUGAUGGGCUUUAUGGAAGAGGUGAUGGGUUUAAUGGAGGAGAUAAUGGGUUAUAUGGAAGAGGUGAUGGGUUUAAUGGAGGAGAUAAUGGGUUAUAUGGAAGAGGUGAUGGGUUAUAUGGAAGAGGUGUUGGGUUAUAUGGAGGAAGUGAUGAGUUCACUAGGAAAUGCUGCACAAACCAUCCCACCAUGGGAUACCCCAGUAUGAAAUUCCUACAUGUAUUCGUCCUAAAAGAGGGAAAAAAAAGGAGGAGGGCAGCAAAGUGGUUCCAGUGGGCCAUGAAUGGGGAUGGCCAUGUCUUCCUUGCUCUAAUGUUUCUCUUCUUUCUCACUCAAGCUACACUUCUGAUGAAGCAAGCCUGGCCACAGACCUCCUCCUCCUGUGCCACAGAGGGCACCUUCCACCUCCCAGUGGACACUGGGACCGAGAACAGAACCUACCAGGCUUCUUCUGCAGCAUUCAGGUACACUGCGGGGACUCCCUACAAGGUCCCACCGACCCAGAGCAACAACGCGCCUCCUCCCUACUCUCCGUCUCCGAAUCCGUACCAAACUGCUAUGUACCCCAUCAGAAGUGCCUACCCACAGCAGAACCUGUACACCCAGGGAGCUUAUUAUACCCAGCCAGUGUACGCGGCACAGCCUCACGUUAUCCAUCACACCACUGUGGUUCAGCCCAACAGCAUCCCGUCGGCCAUCUACCCGGCCCCCGUCGCUGCGCCCCGGACCAACGGCGUGGCCAUGGGGAUGGUCGCUGGCACCACCAUGGCCAUGUCAGCAGGAACCUUGUUGACCACCCCACAACACACUGCCAUCGGAGCACAUCCAGUUUCUGUGCCAACGUACCGGGCUCAAGGAACCCCCACCUACAGCUACGUACCGCCGCACUGGUAAACCCACUGGCCAAGUCAUAUCCGAAGUCAAACAUUGUAUGCAACUACACAAGUCUUACAUCGGGGCUGCAGCCGCUGGACUGCAGCACCUCGUCUGUUUGCAAGAACAAGAGAAAAAAGUGCAAGGGUCACUUUAUGCAUUCUUUAGUGGUUUUUGUAAAAGCUGCUUUUUCUAAUCUUCUGCCUCUUUAUUUUCCUUCCCUCCUCCCUCUCCCCUACCCACAUCAGUCGUGUAACACAUACUGACACUGAGCAAUAGUAAAGUUCUCUCUUCGGUCCUAUCGUUUUACAGCUCAGAAUAUUCACUUUUCAGCAUUGCCCAGUCGAGUGGUGCAAAGAUCCCCACUUCUUGUUCGUUUGGGUUCUUCUCAUCCUUUUUUAUUAUUAUUAUUUUUGUUGUUGUUGUUGUUGACAAGAGCCUAGGUUUUCUUUGACUAGUAAGAGUGGUUGAUGUUCAGGGUACUAUGUGAAAAGCACAGCGCUGGUAGGCAGGCUUAUUCCAAUUUGGUUUGGGUAUUUUUAGUUGGAUAAUAUAAAUUAUUUAAUCUUCCUUAACGUAUUACAGGAAAAUUGGUGUCUUCCAGAUAGCUGUCGUGAUAGAUGAUAAUGCAUUAUCUGCGGUGAAAUGCUGAACUCAUCCCUUCUUUUGUAGGAGUAAGAGAAUAUAAUUAGCGACGUAACACGCUUGUUUUAGGAAGUAGGAGGACUGUUCACCAUUGGGUCUGCUUUUCAAAACUGGGCAGAGGCAUUUGGUGCAAGGGGAAUUGAGUGGCAGCGAUGCCUUUGGGAAGGUGAGAUGCUCUGUGCUGGCCGUGUCCCAGCAUGGGCAGCUCUUUCCUGGCCACUGCUCGUGGGCAGAGGUGUGUAGGGAUGCUGUGGAUGGGAGAAGAGAGAUUUCCAGGCUGGAGAGGCUCUACAGAGCCUGGGGAUUUGGGAAAGGAGGUUGGAUGGAGAGGAGCCUUCAUGGAGGUUGAGGUGCUCCCAUUCUUUGGGCUCUUUGGAUUGGGGUCAACGAAGGUUGAGCCGAGCCCAAGUCCUGGCAUUGUGGAGACAGCUGGUUGGGCUGGGAAAUAGUAGGGGUAAGGAGCAGCAAUAGCAAUAAAGUAAUCUUCUGCAUCUGGAGGCA